rnacentral:rRNA from 1 species
UACGUAGGUGGCAAGCGUUGUCCGGAUUUACUGGGCGUAAAGAGCGCGCAGGCGGUCGGAUAAGUCGAAUGUGAAAGCCCCCCGGCUCAACUGGGGAGGGUCAUUCGAUACUGUUCGACUCGAAGGCAGGAGAGGGAAGUGGAAUUCCAGGUGUAGCGGUGAAAUGCGUAGAUAAUCUGGAGGAACACCUAUGGCGAAGGCAGCUCUCUGGGACGGUACUGACGCUGAGACGCGAAAGCGUGGGGGAGCGAACAGG